GAUAUAUUACUGCAUGCAGCUGGAAUUCGUCUGGAGUGAAGAGCAUGACAUGACCGUUUCCUUCCUCGACCAUGUCCCUCUCCAGCUAGCUUCCUCCCCUCCAUGUCGUUUCUUCUUCGUCGUCGCCGGCCGUCGUCACCACUUUUUGACGCGCUAGCGCCUAGCUGCUGCUCGUUCUUCCACCUCGCCAGUCUCCAUCAACGCGGCUCCGUCGCCCUCACGCACGCGCGCAUAGAUAUAAACAUAAACGCCGGCUGGCACUGGUAGACAUUCUUCACUCCCACGCUAGCUACGCCCACUCCCCCCGCGCUAUGCCUAUGGCCGACCGCGUCCACCCCAUGCCAUCUCCCUCCUCCCCGCCGCUUCCACCUCCGCCAGGGCGACGGCGACCUGACGCCGACCCCGCCACGGAGACGACGCCGCUGCACCCGUCCUUCUUCCACGACAUCCCGCUGUCGCCGCCCCCAGCAGGCACGUACAUCGUGCAGGUGCCCAAGGACCAGGUCCUCCGCGAGCCACCCCCGGACCGCGCGCGCCGCUACAAGAAGCUCGCUGGCCAGCCCGCGCGGCGCCGCCGCCUCCGCCGCGCGUGCUGCCUCUCCUGCGCCGCGCUCCUCGCCAUACUCCUCGCCGCCGCCGCCUUCGCGGGCGCCGUCUGCCUCGCCUUCCGCCCGCGCGCGCCGUCCUUCUCCGUGCCCUCCGCGCUCGCCAUCCGCGGCCUCGCCAACGCCACCGCCACCGCCACCGGCGCCGCAGCCCCGCUCUCCCCCGCGCUCGACGCCGCCGUGCGCGCCGACAACGGGCGCAACGGGAAGGUGGGCGUGGAGUACCGCGCGGGCGGCGCCGUCGCGGUGUCCUACGCGGGGCAGCGGCUGGCCGCGGGCCCGUGGCCCGCGUUCCGCCAGGCGCCGCGGAACGUCACGGUGGUCGCGGCCGCCAUGCGGGGCCAGGGCGUGCGCCUCUCGGAUGCGCGCAGGCGGCAGCUCGCCGCGGACCGGGCCGCGGGCGCCGUGCCGCUCACGCUGGAGGCCAGGGUCCCCGUGCGCCUGCGCUUCGGCAAGGUGCUGCGGACGUGGACCGUCCACGUCAGGGCCCGCUGCGAGGUGGCCGUCGACAGGCUGGACGGGGAUGCCACCGCGGUCAACAGGGGCUGCAGGGUCAGGGUCAAGCCGCUAUGGUGGUGGUGGUGAUGUGAUAGCCGGCGCCGGCGCCGGCGAUCGUGUGUCUAUACAACGUUGACGUUGUGAAUGCCGCCUCAACGUAAACGCCUAGUAAUUUAUAAGAUCUCUUAUUUUCUCCUCAUUUUAUAUGGUAUCCAA